AUGAACGCUGGCGGCGUGCUUAACACAUGCAAGUCGAACGAAGCACUUUAUUUGAUUUCCUUCGGGACUGAUUAUUUUGUGACUGAGUGGCGGACGGGUGAGUAACGCGUGGGUAACCUGCCUUGUACAGGGGGAUAACAGUUGGAAACGGCUGCUAAUACCGCAUAAGCGCACGGCAUCGCAUGAUGCAGUGUGAAAAACUCCGGUGGUAUAAGAUGGACCCGCGUUGGAUUAGCUAGUUGGUGAGGUAACGGCCCACCAAGGCGACGAUCCAUAGCCGACCGGAGAGGGUGACCGGCCACAUUGGGACUGAGACACGGCCCAAACUCCUACGGGAGGCAGCAGUGGGGAAUAUUGCACAAUGGGCGAAAGCCUGAUGCAGCGACGCCGCGUGAGCGAAGAAGUAUUUCGGUAUGUAAAGCUCUAUCAGCAGGGAAGAUAAUGACGGUACCUGACUAAGAAGCACCGGCUAAAUACGUG
rnacentral:rRNA from 1 species